rnacentral:tRNA from 1 species
GGGCGGUUGGCGCAGUUGGCUAGCGCGCCACAAUGACACUGUGGAGGUCACUGGUUCGAGUCCAGUACCGCUCA